GACGAACGCUGGCGGCACGCUUAACACAUGCAAGUCGAACGGACCAAGGGAGCUUGCUCCUUUUGGUUAGUGGCGGACGGGUGAGUAACACGUGAGCAACCUGCCUUCGAGAGAGGAAUAAUGGCUGGAAACGGCCACUAAUACCUCAUAACAUCACGGGACCGCAUGAUUCUGUGAUCAAAGAUUUAUCGCUCGAAGAUGGGCUCGCGUCCGAUUAGCUAGUUGGUGAGGUAACGGCUCACCAAGGCGACGAUCGGUAGCCGUACUGAGAGGUAGAACGGCCACAUUGGGACUGAGACACGGCCCAGACUCCUACGGGAGGCAGCAGUGGGGAAUAUUGCACAAUGGAGGCAACUCUGAUGCAGCGAUGCCGCGUGAGGGAAGAAGGUUUUCGGAUUGUAAACCUUCUGUCAACAGGGACGAUAAUGACGGUACCUGUGGAGGAAGCUCCGGCUAACUACGUGCCAGCAGCCGCGGUAAUACGUAGGGAGCGAGCGUUGUCCGGAAUUACUGGGUGUAAAGGGAGCGUAGGCGGGAGUGUAAGUCAGGUGUGAAAUAUACGGGCUCAACCCGUAGACUGCACUUGAAACUGCAUUUCUUGAGUGAGGUAGAGGCAAGCGGAAUUCCUAGUGUAGCGGUGAAAUGCGUAGAUAUUAGGAGGAACACCAGUGGCGAAGGCGGCUUGCUGGGCUUUUACUGACGCUGAGGCUCGAAAGCGUGGGGAGCAAACAGGAUUAGAUACCCUGGUAGUCCACGCUGUAAACGAUGAUUACUAGGUGUGGGGGGAUAACAUCCUUCCGUGCCGCAGUUAACACAAUAAGUAAUCCACCUGGGAGUACGCCGCAAGGUUGAAACUCAAAGGAAUUGACGGGGGCCCGCACAAGCAGUGGAGUAUGUGGUUUAAUUCGACGCAACGCGAAGAACCUUACCAGGUCUUGACAUCGUACGCAUUACUUAGAGAUAAGGAAAUCCCUUCGGGGACGUACAGACAGGUGGUGCAUGGUUGUCGUCAGCUCGUGUCGUGAGAUGUUGGGUUAAGUCCCGCAACGAGCGCAACCCUUGUUGUUAGUUGCUACGUUAAGAGCACUCUAAUGAGACUGCCGUUGACAAAACGGAGGAAGGUGGGGAUGACGUCAAAUCAUCAUGCCCCUUAUGACCUGGGCUACACACGUACUACAAUGGCGUAACAGAGGGAAGCUAAGCCGCGAGGUGGAGCAAAUCCCUAAAAGACGUCCCAGUUCAGACUGCAGGCUGCAACUCGCCUGCACGAAGUCGGAAUUGCUAGUAAUCGCAGAUCAGCAUGCUGCGGUGAAUACGUUCCCGGGCCU
rnacentral:rRNA from 1 species